rnacentral:rRNA from 1 species
GUAGGUGGCAAGCGUUGUCCGGAAUUAUUGGGUGUAAAGCGCGCGCAGGCGGUCCUUUAAGUCUGAUGUGAAAGCCCACGGGCUCAACCGUGGAGGGUCAUUGGAAACUGGGGGACUUGAGUACAGAAGAGGAAAGCGGAAUUCCAAGUGUAGCGGUGAAAUGCGUAGAGAUUUGGAGGAACACCAGUGGCGAAGGCGGCUUUCUGGUCUGUAACUGACGCUGAGGCGCGAAAGCGUGGGGAGCAAACAGGAUUAGAUACCCUGGUAGUCCACGCCGUAAACGAUGAGUGCUAAGUGUUAGGGGGUUUCCGCCCCUUAGUGCUGCAGCUAUCGCAUUAAGCACUCCGCCUGGGGAGUACGGCCGCAAAGGCUG